AGUGAACGCUGGCGGCGUGCCUAAUACAUGCAAGUCGAACGAACGAAUAAGAGCUUGCUCUUAUAAGUUAGUGGCGCACGGGUGAGUAAUAUAUAGCUAAUCUGCCUCUUAGUAGAGGAUAACAGUCGGAAACGAUUGCUAAUACUCUAUACUUCUGCUUUACAUAAGUAAAGUAGAGAAAGUUUUUCGCUACGAGAUGAGGCUAUACUGUAUCAGCUAGUUGGUAAGGUAACGGCUUACCAAGGCGAUGACGCAUAACUGGUCUGAGAGGAUGAUCAGUACAAUUGGACGGGAGACACGGGCCAAAAACCUACGGGAGGGAGCAGAAGGGAAUAUUGCGCAAUGGGGGAAACCCAGACGCAGCAACGCCGCGUGGAGGAUGACACUUUUCGGAGCGUAAACUCCUUUUAUCGGGAAAGAAUAAUGACGGUACCCGAUGAAUAAGCACCGGCUAACUCCGUG
rnacentral:rRNA from 1 species